rnacentral:rRNA from 1 species
AUUGAACGCUAGCGGCAGGCCUAACACAUGCAAGUCGGACGGCAGCACAGAAGAGCUUGCUCUUUGGGUGGCGAGUGGCGGACGGGUGAGUAAUGUCUGGGAAACUGCCCGAUGGAGGGGGAUAACUACUGGAAACGGUAGCUAAUACCGCAUAACGUCGCAAGACCAAAGUGGGGGACCUUCGGGCCUCACACCAUCGGAUGUGCCCAGAUGGGAUUAGCUAGUAGGUGGGGUAAUGGCUCACCUAGGCGACGAUCCCUAGCUGGUCUGAGAGGAUGACCAGCCACACUGGAACUGAGACACGGUCCAGACUCCUACGGGAGGCAGCAGUGGGGAAUAUUGCACAAUGGGCGCAAGCCUGAUGCAGCCAUGCCGCGUGUAUGAAGAAGGCCUUCGGGUUGUAAAGUACUUUCAGCGGGGAGGAAGGCGGUGAGGUUAAUAACCUUGCCGAUUGACGUUACCCGCAGAAGAAGCACCGGCUAACUCCGUGCCAGCCGCCGCGGUAA